AUUGAACGCUGGCGGCAUGCUUUACACAUGCAAGUCGAACGGUAACAGGCCGCAAGGUGCUGACGAGUGGCGAACGGGUGCGUAAUGCAUCGGAACGUGCCCAGUCGUGGGGGAUAACUACUCGAAAGAGUAGCUAAUACCGCAUACGAUCUAUGGAUGACAGCGGGGGACCGUAAGGCCUCGCGCGAUUGGAGCGGCCGAUGUCGGAUUAGGUAGUUGGUGGGGUAAAGGCUCACCAAGCCCACGAUCUGUAGCUGGUCUGAGAGGACGACCAGCCACACUGGGACUGAGACACGGCCCAGACUCCUACGGGAGGCAGCAGUGGGGAAUUUUGGACAAUGGGCGCAAGCCUGAUCCAGCAAUGCCGCGUGCAGGAAGAAGGCCUUCGGGUUGUAAACUGCUUUUGUACGGAACGAAACGGCUCUGGUUAAUACCCGGGGCUAAUGACGGUACCGUAAGAAUAAGCACCGGCUAACUACGUG
rnacentral:rRNA from 1 species